rnacentral:rRNA from 1 species
AGAGCGAACGCUGGCGGCAGGCUUAACACAUGCAAGUCGAACGAUCCCUUCGGGGAUAGUGGCGGACGGGUGAGUAACACGUGGGAACGUGCCUUUUGGUUCGGAACAACACAGGGAAACUUGUGCUAAUACCGGAUAAGCCCUUCGGGGGAAAGAUUUAUCGCCAUUAGAGCGGCCCGCGUCUGAUUAGCUUGUUGGUGAGGUAAAGGCUCACCAAGGCUACGAUCAGUAGCUGGUCUGAGAGGAUGAUCAGCCACACUGGGACUGAGACACGGCCCAGACUCCUACGGGAGGCAGCAGUGGGAAUCUGCGCAAUGGGGGAAACCCUGACGCAGCCAUGCCGCGUGAAUGAUGAAGGUCUUAGGAUUGUAAAAUUCUUUCAGCGGGGACGAUAAUGACGGUACCCGCAGAAGAAGCUCCGGCUAACUCGUGCCAGCAGCCGC